rnacentral:rRNA from 1 species
AGAUUGAACGCUGGCGGAAUGCUUUACACAUGCAAGUCGAACGGCAGCACGGGACUCAGGCAACUGAGCCCUGGUGGCGAGUGGCGAACGGGUGAGUAACAUAUCGGAACGUACCCAGUCGUGGGGGAUAACUCUCCGAAAGGAGAGCUAAUACCGCAUACGUCCUGAGGAGAAGCGGGGACCUAAGGGUAACUGAGGGCCUCGCGCGAGUUGGAGCGGCCGUAUAUCGGAAUUAGCGUAGUUGGGUAGGGGUAAAGGCUCACCAAGGCGACGAUCCGUAGCGGGUCUGAGAGGACGACCCGCCACACUGAACUGAGACACGGUACCACGACUACCCGUACGGGAGGCAGGCCUAGGUAGGGUAAGUUUUGGAACGAAGUUGGGGG